rnacentral:rRNA from 1 species
GAUGAACGCUGGCUGCGUGCCUAAUACAUGCAAGUCGAGCGAACGGACCAGAAGCUUGCUUCUCUGAUGUUAGCUGCGGACGGGCGAGUAACACGAGGAUAACCCACCUAUAAGACUGGGAUAACUUCGGGAAACCGGAGCUAAUACCGGAAAAUAUUUUGAACCGUAUGGUUCAUCAGUGAAAGACGGUCUUUCUGUCACUGAUAGAUGGAUCCGCGCUGCAUUAGCUAGUUGGUAAGGUAACGGCUUACCAAGGCAACGAUGCAUAGCCGACCUGAGAGGGUGAUCAGCCACCCUGGAACGGAGACACGGUCCAGACUCCUACGGGAGGCAGCAGUAGGGAAUCUUCCGCAAUGGGCGGAAGCCUGGCGGAGCAACGCCGCGUGGGUGAUGAAGGUCUUCGGAUCGUAAAACUCUGUUAUUAGGGAAGAACAUAUGUGUAAGUAACUGUGCACAUCUUGACGGUACCUAAUCAGAAAGCCACGGCUAACUACGUG